AAUGUGUGUGUGUGUGUGGCUUGGUUUAUUUCCAAAUCGCACAGUAACCCGCAUUCUAUGCUGGUUUUCAGCUGCCGUACAAAUGUUUCUCGCAAUUCUGCUAUUGUACUUUACUUUAGAGAGCGGUAAAGGAAUCAUCGAGUUUUCCUGUUCCCUUACAUUUUUCAUUGUAAUGCUCUUGUUAUCGGCUUGGCUAAUCGACGUACUCGUGCAGCACAAUUUAUUGGCAUUGACGAUAUAUAUGGUAACAUUCGCAUUCUCUGGCGUGUUUGUCAUUACCUAUCUGUUGCUUGUUGUUUUCAACGUCAUUGACAAGAGGGACCCAACGAUUAAUUAUGAGGCAUGGAAAGAUCAACUGAUUGCUGUAUUAUUUACAGUCAACUAUGUGUUCACAUUGGCUGCGUUGCAUUUAUAUCGCACAACAAUAUUGGCAGAGAAUGCGAGCCUGGAAAACACUUUCUAACGCGGACUAUUCUAUCUUUCGCUUGGAUGGGUCUGGUGCCAAAACAAUUUCGUUUAUUGUCUCCCCUUGCAUCUGUGUGGGGGAGCUGGCGUGGGGCAUGCAACAAAGAGUCAAGUGGUUGAGUGGCAUGCACGACUAGAGUUACAGCAAUGCCUGCUAUUCGCUACUCUACUCUUCUACGACUAGUUUUUUUAAUCUAUCUGACCUGGACUAUUGCUGCGUAACUUUUGAGUUUUAUCUGCCGACAGAUUUUUAUUAGCGCACCAUUUUAUCAUUGCCCCAGCGACCAGGAAGCCAAACAGCCGACAAUUCUACGUGCCUAGACAGUGGCAACUAGCAGCGGCAGGCAAGCAGACAAUCCAACCACACAAACACACACAAAGGCACACACACACACACACUCAAACACACACACACACAUAUAUAUGGUGUGCACAUUUCCAGCUCAAUUGCGCGCUCAAUGAAUAAUUUAGUUGAAAAUUUCGGCGCACUUUUUGUGUGAAAAUGCGGUCUAUACAGUUAUUUGAGUGCAACAGCCUAUCCACUCCCCCCUCCUCGCCUGUCAUCCACCCGCACCGUUCGUCUGCUCAGUCAGUCAUAAAAUUUAUGCGUUUUUCCUUACAGUUUUUCUCAUUUUGGUGGGAGCUCGGCUCUCGUUUGCCUCAUAAAAUGACUUGCGCAACAGUUGAAAAAUUCUAAACGCCGUCAUAAAUGCUAGACGACCAUGCCCCCGUGCCCCCCGUGAUGGCCGGCGUAGCUGCACUUUGCUGGCGUUGCCAUAUCAGCGCCAUAAAUAAAUUUUUCGUGUUUGA
rnacentral:sRNA from 1 species